UUACCCUCACCCCCUUUUCGUCUCUCAGAAUCCCACCACCCACAACCCUAAUUCCCCGUCACCCUCCAUAUUAUGCCGUUGCCGAAAAUCGCCUUACGGCAGCGGCCGUUCUCUAAACACGCCCAAAUUUACACCAUCCAAUCCUCUUUUCCCCCUCUUUCCAACGCGCCAAAUGAUUUCCUUCAAAUCCGAGCCCAGCCUUUUGGAUAUCAAUAAUAGUGACGCCGCCACCACCGCACAUGGCGGCGACCGGUCUCCAAACCAGUCCAAAUUUACACCAAGGCUUCUACUCACCCUUAUCCUUCCGAAACCACAGUCCAUAAGCUUCAAAUCUCCCUCAAACUUUUCGAAUUUCAGAUCAAACAUUGACCCCAAAACCCUAAUUUUUCAAGAUGCUGGAGUUCGUUCGAUUUUGGACUAUAAUAGUCCUUAAUCUUGUGUUUCUCAUGGAAACACACGAAUAAGGACAGUUGCAGUCCAGAUUUUGCAAACUUGGCCGUAAUCCCUUUUAUUCGAUUUAUCAAGGUAUUUCAAUCAUUGAUCUGUUCUUAUUGUUAUUUUUUAGUAUUUGUUCAACAAAGUUAGUAGGGUUCUUAGUAAUUUUCUAUGUUUUCUCAUUUUUUAUUUUGUUAUUUUAUCUUUUUUAUUCUGGUUUAGCUAUUUGAUUGAUUUUUCAUGCUCUAGGGAUUUGACAGUUUCAGUCCGAAUUUUGCAAAAGCUUGGUCGAUAUCCCUUUCAUUUGAUUAAUCAAGGUAAUUCUCUCAUUUUUAUUUUUAUUUUAAUCUUGUUUUUAGUAUUUGUUUAGCCAAAUUAGUAGGUUUUCUUAGUAAUUUUCUAUUUUAUCUUUUUCUGAUUUUGAUUUAGUUAUUUUUUGAUUAAUCAUGUUUUAGUGAUUUUAGUAUUAGUUUAACCUUUAGUUUGAAUAUGUUUGGAUUCGGUGUUUACUUUUAUAGGUUUUAAUUUCUCCAGUUAGUAUUCAAUUUUAAUUUAGAUAGAAAUGUUGUAGGUUAAACUAGAACACCCUAGACUCUUCUAGAAUAGGGCCUUAGUUCUAAUUUAAGAAGCUUGGGGCAGUAACUUGAGAAACAAGUCAAAACAUUAAGGGAUAUUAAAUAAAAACAGAAAAUAAAAGGGGGAAAAUGGGUAAUUAAAUCUAGAAUUUUCUUCCCCCUUUUUUCUACCUAUAAAAGGCAGUAUACCUGCCUUCUUUUAUAAGUUUUGAACCCUGAAAAAAUUCCCAAAAGUUCCAGCUCUGAAAAAUCUCCCCAAAAAAAAACCUCCUAAUUCAAAUCUCUGAAGUUUGAAAAUUCACAAUCCAAAUGCAAGCAAUUGAAGUUCGAUCUCUAUCUUUCAGAAGUUCAGAAAAUAAUACCAAAAACUCGGAAAAAAAAAGGUCGUGCUAUUCUGCUGUAGUUCGUAGUCCAAUUUCAAAUUCUAGUUCCUACUUCAAAAUUCUAGUUUACAUAAGGGCAAAGUAGCUUAGAUAUUCUAGUUUUGAUCAAUAUUUGAGGUUUUAAAGACUGUUGGGUUAAUUACACGCUAAAUUUUGUUUUGUUCUAGUCAAUUUUGGUUGUAUACUGGUUUUUCAUGGCUGAAUUCCAAGCUGAAAUUACUGUUGUUGUGCUCUUUCACCUGUUGCUGACCUCCUUCUUCUCCUUUGUUUCAUUGCAAUCCCAGGUAUUCUUCAACUUCGAAUAUGUGAAGGACCAAAUCCACGGUUCUAUUCGAAUUGCUGAAUAAAUGACCAAUUCUCAUGUUGAUUUCAAGUUUAGCUUAUUUCCAUACUUGUUAGUUCACAUGUUGGAUUGUAUAGUAAUAGUAUUUGAUAUUAAUUGCAUAUAACAGGACUGUUUAACCGGAUUGUAUAAUUGGGAUGUGUAAUAGAUCUUAAUUAUAGACUAUGUUAGUUCGUAUGCUAGCAUAUGUAUAGCUUCUGAUGACUGUAUAAUCUAGACUAUUGUAGAUCGCAAAAAAAAUUAUAUUUCAAUAAAAUAGGAUCCUUGAAUUUGAUGUUAAGCAAUUCAGUUUCGUGUUCUAAAAGAUUACGCUAGUUUAGAUCUGAAGAGCAAAUCUAGAAUUAAAUUGAUAAUUGUACUAAAUUUGAAUGUUUCUUUCUGUUUGUUAUUCCAA
rnacentral:lncRNA from 1 species